rnacentral:rRNA from 1 species
UACGGGGGGGGGCAAGCGUUGUUCGGAAUUACUGGGCGUAAAGGGCUCGUAGGCGGCCAACUAAGUCGGACGUGAAAUCCCCAGGCUCAACCUGGGAACUGCGUCCGAUACUGGAUGGCUUGAAUCCGGGAGAGGGAUGCAGAAUUCCAGGUGUAGCGGUGAAAUGCGUAGAGAUGUGGAGGAACACCGAUGGCGAAGGCAGCCCCCUGGGUCAAGAUUGACGCUCAUGCACGAAAGCGUGGGGAGCAAACAGG